UACGUAGGGUCCGAGCGUUGUCCGGAAUUAUUGGGCGUAAAGAGCUCGUAGGCGGUUUGUCGCGUCUGCUGUGAAAACCUGAGGCUCAACCUCGGGCUUGCAGUGGGUACGGGCAGACUAGAGUGCGGUAGGGGUGACUGGAAUUCCUGGUGUAGCGGUGGAAUGCGCAGAUAUCAGGAGGAACACCGAUGGCGAAGGCAGGUCACUGGGCCGCAACUGACGCUGAGGAGCGAAAGCAUGGGGAGCGAACAGG
rnacentral:rRNA from 1 species